CCUACGGGCGGCAGCAGUGGGGAAUAUUGGACAAUGGGGGCAACCCUGAUCCAGCCAUGCCGCGUGUGUGAAGAAGGCCCUCGGGUUGUAAAGCACUUUCAGUGAGGAAGAACGCCUGGUGGUUAAUACCCAUCAGGAAAGACAUCACUCACAGAAGAAGCACCGGCUAACUCCGUGCCAGCAGCCGCGGUAAUACGGAGGGUGCGAGCGUUAAUCGGAAUUACUGGGCGUAAAGCGCGCGUAGGUGGCUUGAUAAGCCGGUUGUGAAAGCCCCGGGCUCAACCUGGGAACGGCAUCCGGAACUGUCAAGCUAGAGUGCAGGAGAGGAAGGUAGAAUUCCCGGUGUAGCGGUGAAAUGCGCAGAGAUCGGGAGGAAUACCAGUGGCGAAGGCGGCCUUCUGGACUGACACUGACACUGAGGUGCGAAAGCGUGGGUAGCAAACAGGAUUAGAUACCCUGGUAGUC
rnacentral:rRNA from 1 species